CAUGUAGGCGGUUUUGCAAGCUUGAUGUGAAAUGCCGGGGCUUAACUCCGGCACUGCGUUGAGAACUGCAUGACUAGAGUAACUGAGGGGCAGCCGGAAUUCCAGGUGUAGGGGUGAAAUCUGUAGAUAUCUGGAAGAACACCAAUGGCGAAGGCAGGCUAUUAGCAGAUUACUGAUGCUGAGGUGCGAAGGUGCGGGGAGCAAACA
rnacentral:rRNA from 1 species